rnacentral:rRNA from 1 species
GAUGAACGCUGGCGGCGUGCCUAAUACAUGCAAGUCGAGCGAACGGACGAGAAGCUUGCUUUUCUGAUGUUAGCGGCGGACGGGUGAGUAACACGUGGAUAACCUACCUAUAAGACUGGGAUAACUUCGGGAAACCGGAGCUAAUACCGGAUAAUAUUUUGAACCGCAUGGUUCAAAAGUGAAAGACGGUCUUGCUGUCACUUAUAGAUGGAUACGCGCUGCAUUAGCUAGUUGGUAAGGUAACGGCUUACCAAGGCAACGAUGCAUAGCCGACCUGAGAGGGUGAUCGGCCACACUGGAACUGAGACACGGUCCAGACUCCUACGGGAGGCAGCAGUAGGGAAUCUUCCGCAAUGGGCGAAAGCCUGACGGAGCAACGCCGCGUGAGUGAUGAAGGUCUUCGGAUCGUAAAACUCUGUUAUUAGGGAAGAACAUAUGUGUAAGUAACUGUGCACAUCUUGACGGUACCUAAUCAGAAAGCCACGGCUAACUACGUG